ACCAUUCUAUUGUUAUCUCUUGUUUGGUCGAAAAAUUUCCACGAUUUUGUUUAUUGAAGAUGAAAUAUAGAGUUUGGUUGUGUAAGUUUCUUGUUAUGCGUUUGUUGCCCAGGGCUGUUCAUCAAUCUUUUUUUAGUAUUGUUGAGUUCUGCAGAAGUUUUCUUUUGUUGAAUUAAAUGUAACAGGGGGUUAACACUCAUGGACAGGUUUCAUGCUCUUCGAGAGCUUGAUGAAGGGAAGAGAAGUUGCUGUACGGGUUUGGCUGGCCAUAAUAGGAGGAGAAGAAAAAUGCAUCCUGAUAGUGCAGUUAAUGGAGGGUCUUUAAAUAAUGAAAGCGGAAGCAGGACCAUGCAGAAAGCAGCGGCUGUUUUGGGGGUGAAGCAUACAGAGACGGGAUAGAUGUACCUCCGCAGCACGGGAAGAUGUUUAUAAUCCUUUGCUAAUUGCGAGCUUCGUUCAGUGGUAAUUGUUGAUAGGAGUUUGAUGGGGUCUGAUUACACAAGUAACACUUGAUUUUUCCGGCGCUGGUGGCUUAUUUUUACACCGGAGACGGAGAUUUAGUCGUCUUAAAAGGUUAGGGAAACCUGAAUAUCGUUGAUUGUUUUACAAGUUACUUGUUUUUAGAUCACACUUUGUCUUCCCGGUCAGUCACUUAGGCACACAUAGAAGACGUUCUAUGGUUGGAACUUACUCAUGUGUUAAUGUCUUAAGCGAUAGCUUGAAGGGCAAGGUUCACAGCAUGCCGAAUGAAACUUGACAAGGUCAAUACUCAAGCUUAAUCUAAUCCAUACUCAAGCUUGAUCUAAUCAUGUAUUUCGUUUAGUAAUUUUUCAAUGGAAACCAUUACGAGCUUGUUUGAUAUUCACUUCUGCUUUAAUUUUUUUCGUUUUUAUUGUAAAUAAAAUGAAAAUAUAAAACUUGUUUGGUAACAACUUAUUAUAAAUAAAAUCAUGACCGUUGGAAUUGGAAGGA